rnacentral:rRNA from 1 species
CGCGUAUAAAACCUACCUUUUACUGGGGGAAAGUCGCUGGAAACGGCGAAUAAUCCCGCAUAAGACCCCACUGUCGCAUGGCAGAGUGGUUAAAGGCUUCGGUCGGUAAAAGAUGGUUGUGCGUCCCAUUAGCUAGAUGGUAGGGUAACGGCCUACCAUGGCGACGAUGGGUAGGGGGCGUGAGAGCGUGAUCCCCCACACGGGUACUGAGACACGGACCCGACUCCUACGGGAGGCAGCAGUAAGGAAUAUUGGUCAAUGGAGGAAACUCUGAACCAGCCAUGCCGCGUGUGUGAUGAA